CCAUCCGGCGAUAUCACCUUGAAUGCAUCGGUUCUCGAUCAUUCAAGUUACGCAACUUCGAAGCUAGUGAGUACUUAGAUGGGUGACCGCUUGGGAAAACUAAGUGCUAUAAGCA
rnacentral:rRNA from 1 species